CUUAUUGCUAGUUUGUUUGUUUGUUUUUGAGACAAAGUCUUACUCUAUCUCCCAGGCUGGAGUACAGUGACAGAAUCUCGGCUCAUUGCAACCUCUGCCUUCUGGGUUCAAGUGAUUCUUCUGCCUCAGCCUCCCAAGUAGCUUGGAUUACAUACAGAAAAUUAAAGCAACAGAAGAAUCUUCCGGUUUUCCAUCAUGACAAAUACCUGUCUCCAAGCAUCUGGAGCCACACACUCCUGCCCAUACUCGUGUCUAGAAGCUCAGUUGAUCCUCUCACCUCAGCCUCUUGA
rnacentral:lncRNA from 1 species